AGUCUCGCAAGUGACUGAUACUCAAAGUUAGGUUAGAAGUUUCCUAAACUUUAGAUAGGGGUUCGAUUCCCCUCGGGGCUA
rnacentral:tRNA from 3 species